UGGCAUUAAUCGCGCCGCAUUGAACAAGCGCUUAAUGCUAUUUAAACGAAGAGACGUAUAUAUAUAUAAAGUUAAUAUUUAUACAAGAUAUAUUUUUUAAAUCAUUCUUUGAUGUCCUUUCUAUUAGGAUUUUUCGACUGAAUCGAUGUUUCCUCAAUAAAAAUGAUAGAGGCAAUGCAUUAUACAUUGAAGAGAUGCGAUAUCAUAAAUUCUUUCGAUAUUUUCUCUAAGAAAAUUACUCAAUGAAGCUGCGAUAAAGUGGGUGCAUUCGGUUGAGAUAUGUAGAAGAAUAACGAGGCUGUGAACAAUAUCUGUGUGUUACUAUGUAAAUGUACUACAGAUGCAGUAGAAAUAUCUGCAGUUUAUUUACCCCAGAAGAGAGAUAGAGAGUGAUACGUUAGCAGAGGCAAAUGUUUGCGCCGGAUGCGGUCGGCUGUACUUCCCACUUGUCUAAAUUGAUAAGUAUUUCACGAGAGAGGAUAUCGCGUGCGUGGGCUAAUCGAUUUUUAGAUUCCUUCACUUUUGUUAUCAUGCGUUCAUGCGUGACAGUUGUGAUUCCUUUAUUUCACCCAAUAUGUGUGUGGGGAUAUUUAAGCGACACAUAUACUCUAAUUUUGAUUAAUUUAAGCAAAUGCUUCGCGCGCGCGUUUCUUCUCAUUUGAUUUAUUCAAAGGUAAUUAAUUACGAACGAUACGGUUCAUUAUGGAGUGUGUAAUCAGAAAGGGAGGCAUAUGUGGGAUGUUCAUCAUUGAGAGCACCAUUCACUAUCAUUAUGACGGGUUUAUCGUCUGAUUAUUUUAAAGUGAGAAUGCAUCUCACAUAUUAUUGCUAUUUAUUCCAUGGAAGAUAAUUUUACUGAGGGAAUCUCGUAAUACUUUUAAAAACAUUAUAUAUACUGUAUCAAAUUUUAAAAAAAUCGGAUAUGUGUGCGUUUUAAAAUUAAUAUUAUCUACAAGAAAAACGGAUAAAAAUAAAGAAAAUUGGUUAUAUUAACUGUAUCUCGAGAAGACAAUAAUAAGAAAGGAAAGUUGUAAUUUAUCUAAGUGAUAACUGAACAAAAAUGUUUAAGCGCGCGAAAACGUUGCCCCGAUAUAUCUCGAAUCUAAUGAGACAAGUAUAUCAGUUUUUGUACUACUUUUUUGAGCAAACGAUAAAAAUAUUGCGGUAUUUUAAAUAUGCGCUACUUUGUAUAAUUUACGUUAUAAUUUUGAAACAGUAUAAUCAAUUAUAUAUAAAUAAUCACGCGCUCUAUUUGUAAUCGCCGGCAAUUAUACAUUAAAUCAGUCACUUACCAAAUUUUCUGUGAAAAUGAACUUAAAAUUUUUUUUAUUAAUCACAACGAUAGCCUGCAUAUGUAACGUAUCUUUGUCUAUACAAAAUUUAUAAUUCAUCGUUUUGAUAUUAUAAUACU